GCACGCGCAAGAGCGUAACGGGCACUGCGAUAGGUACGCUCACGCACGUGCGACGUCACCCUCCGCGCGAAGGGAGAAAAAAGUUCCCCGCGUUCCGAUUUGCGGAGUGGCUUGCCAGUGAAGUGACCAGUCGUUUGCCCUACCGCAGAGGAGAGGUCCAGUGAAGGCUUGAAGAGUGACGUGCCUGUUAUGUAUCCAGCCCUUUGAAAGAACGAGAAAAGCGUGUGUGUGUGUGCAAAAUCUUGAAGUUUGUUCCCUUUUAUGAACCCCUUCCGGGCCUCUCAGGUAAUAUAAACGAGCAAAAUGGA